AUGGCCGAACCACCCUGAACUUGUCCAAUCUCAUCUGAUCUCAGAAGCUAAGUGGGACUGGCUCUGUUCAGUACUUGGAUGGGAAAUACCAGCUGACUUCAGAAUGACUAUC
ensembl:rRNA 5S_rRNA 5S ribosomal RNA